rnacentral:lncRNA from 12 species
AUGCUACAAGACACUUACUCAGGAACUUGGACCACCUCUGAUCCUACGUGGCUGCCCAAGGACUGUGAGUAUCCUUAUCUCGCAGGAGCCCUGGCUAAGCACAUUGCAAAGCAGAAGACUCAGCAGAAGCAUACCUGGAUGAUUGACACUCAGACGUCCUGCAGUUUGCAUCCUUACACUUGGAGUGCUUUGGAGUCCUGCCAAGGUGUGACUGGACUCUCGGGACUGGGAGCAUUUUCCGUGCCAAUGACACUGAGGAGAGAGUGGAGACCACCGAGCUUUGGGGAGUCAACAAACUUUCCUGGCAUAUUUAUUAUUAAGUGGACUUGGAGAGUGAUUUCUUGUCUGAGGAGCCCCCAAUCCGCCCCCUCCUCCGAAAGUUGGAGUCAUUUCAGUGUCCUGAUAUGGGCUGUUGACUGUUCCUGAUGUGGGAGAAAAG